UCCCCGUUACCGAGGCAGUCUAGCUAGAAAAAUUCAACUAACUACAAGGGUUGCGCUCGUUGAUGGACUUAACCAAACAUCUCACGACACGAGCUGACGACGGCCAUGCAACACCUGUCACCGGAUUCCUAAAAGGCACUCACUCCUUUCGGAGAGAUUCCCGGGAUGUCAAACCCUGGUAAGGUUCUUCGCUUAGCAUCGAAUUAAACAACACGCUCCACCGCUUGUGCGGGUCCCCGUCAAUUCCUUUGAGUUUUAAUCUUGCGACCGUACUCCCCAGGCGGGAUGCUUAACGCGUUAGCUUCGCUACUAGAAGGGUCGAUACUUCUAACAGCUAGCAUCCAUCGUUUACGGCGUGGACUAC
rnacentral:misc_RNA from 1 species